GCACUAUCAAAGGGAGGCAUGUGAAGAGGCUUUUAACUUUUAUUAACUACGGUUGUAAGCUGUGAAAAGCACAAAUUUGAAAACAAUGAAUAAAUAAUGGAGAAAUGUGCUUCAAUUAUGGUUUAUAAAUGUAUCAGUCAAGUGAUUCAGUGUUAAAAUGACCACCACCACCCACCCACCCACCCACCACCAUGUAGUGGGGGUGGCUAGGGUUCGGUCGAGCAGUCUGCCCUGGUGCACUGUGACGUGUAGAUUUGCGUGUCCUGCUACUCUCAUCCUGCCGGUGUGGUGACUGUGACCUGCCCUGACCUGCCUGUGACCUGCCCUGACCUGCCUGUGACCUGCCUGUGACCUGCUUUUGACCUGCCUUGACUUCCUCUGACACACAUGGUGAACCGAGACCUUCCGAGACCUUCCAAGACCUUCCAAAAUCUGCCGUGACCCACAGAUGAAGAUGUAUAGAUUUAAGAAGUGCGAUGAUGCAACACAGACAGACAGACAGGUGUGGGAUGAGUGCUGGCAUACUGAAGGUCAAGAGGUCAAGAGUCACAUGUUGAGUUGUAUGGGUCACCAGACAGGUCACCCACCUAACCCCACUCGGCCUGUCAGUUCAGCGGCAACACUGUCAUGGAAGAAUUUGCCGCAAGCUGUGCCUCUCUGUGCUUGUUAUCCGAACCUUGUGUCUAAUAUUGCCUUAAUGUUGUGUGUGUGUGUGUGUGUGUGUGUGUGAGAGAGAGAGAGAGAUUUUGUUACUCGUCAUGUCCCCUGUACCAACUGAAGACCUCCACCAGACCCCCUCUUAGUCACCCUUGUUGUGUCCCCUGUACCACUUGAAGACCUCCACCAGACCCCCUCUUAGUCACCCUUGUUGUGUCCCCUGUACCACUUGAAGACCUCCACCAGACCCCCUCUUAGUCACCCUUGUUGUGUCCCCUGUACCACUUGAAGGUCUCCACCAGACCCCCUCUUAGUCACCCUUCUCUGAGGUACAACAGUGUCUAGUCAUCCUUCCUAUGUCAUCCUUGUGUAAUCAGGAAUAAUUAUCAGCAUUUGUUCUCCUCCUCUUCCUCCUCCUUCUGUCUGUCUGUCUGUCUGUCUGUCUGUCUGUCUGCCUACCAGUUAAAAUGAUCAAUGUAGUCAGUUAUACUUGUGGAUACUGUGUGUGUGUGUGUGUGUGUGUGUGUGUGUGUGUGCGUGCGUGUAUAUGAAUUAAUGUUUAUUGUGAAGUAUCUGCCUGCCUGCUUGCAAAUUAAUCAUCAAUAUAGUUACUGUUUGUGUGUGUUUGUUAUAAAGCAAUCUUGUGUAUAUUAUUGAUUGUAUUCCACAUGUAUGGGCUGGCCAGACGUGAUGUACUGUGACAGCCAGAACCUUGACAUAUACUGCUUGAUAAAAUGAAAAUAAGCAAAAAUACCUGAAUAAAGUACAAAUUUUGAGCCGAACUAAUGAGGACUUUCUCUCGUCUUUUUCAGAGGUGCGUACAUCUGCGAGUCACUCCAACCAACUUCUUAUAUCCUACCUUAUUCUGAUAUAUUAGGUUAGAUUCAGUUAGGUUACUUAUAUUGGGGGUCUGUCUUCCUUACUAACAAAAUUAACCUAACCAUUCCUUCCUUCUCGUCAAGCUGUCGGUGGGAGAAGCCCCAGGACUCUCAAGCGUGGGUUGAGUCACAACUGCGGGUGUGCUAGCUCACCUUGAAGUCAGACGGGGCUCACGUGUUGCAGUGUUGCAGUGUUGCAGAUCUUCACCCAAACAAGGGGAGUAUUGUUUUUUUGUGUUUUGUAUAUAUAUAUUUUUUUUGGGGGGGGAGGGGGUCUGGGGAUAGCUAUCUGCGGUGUGCGUCUGUGCGUGCGUCUGUGUGUGCGUCUGUGUGUGCGUCUGUGCACGUGCGUCUGUGUGCGUGCAUCUGUGUGUAUGUCUUUUUUUUGGUUGUGUGUGUGUGAAUUUUUUUUUGGUAUAAAUAUAUAGGUGGCAGGCCAUAGUGUUAGGAUAUUUGACAGAUUAAUAUAGAAGAUGGUUUAAGUUAGUUAUUAAUAUAGAAGAUGGUUUAAGUUAGUUAAGGGUUAAGUGAGGCAUAGAGAGAGAGAGAGAGAGAGGGGAAGACAGAUAUUAAUAGGAUUAGCUUAUAUUUUUUUUAGGGUUUUAAGUAAGUAUCCAGGUGGCAGGUCAGAAUGAUAUAAUAUUUAACUCAGAUUAAUAUAGAAGAUGGUUUUAAGUUAGUAUAUAUCAAAGGGUUAAGUGAGGCAUAGAGAGAGAGAGAGAAAGGGUUAAUAGGAUUAGAAUGACAGGAGUAUAUAUCAAAGGGUUAAGUGAGGCAUAGAGAGAGAGAGAGAGAGAUAGGGUUAUUAAUAGGAUGACAGGAGUAUAUAUGAAAGGGUUAAGUGAGGCAUAGAUAGGGUUAUUAAUAGGAUUAGGAUGACAGGGUGUAUGAAUGUUUAACUCAGAUUAUAUUGAAAGUUUAUUUCUUUAUAAUCUGAGUUUGUAUGGCAUGUUGAGUAUUAGUAUGUUAUUUUUGUAGUGGUGGUAGUGGUGGUGGGACGUAUGAAUGAUAUUUUUUUUUUUUUUUUUUGGUGGGGGGGGGCAAGGGGGGUAUAUAUAUAUAGUGUUAUAUAGAUAUUUUUUUUUUUUUAUCCCCAGAUCUUUGGUAAGAGAUCUGGGGAUUGUAUGUAUGUAUGUCUAGCCAGUAUUUUGGUAAGAUACUGGCUAGUGAGUGAGUGAGUGUGUGUGUGUGUGUGUGUGUGUGUGUGUGUGUGUGUACGUGUGUGUGUGCGUGCAUAUGUGUGUGUGUGCAGUUUUUUUUUUAGGUUAGGUUAAUUAGUUAAAUAAAUAAAUAAGAGCAUAGAUAUUAGUAAUAAUAAGAAAAUUUGAUAUUAGUAAUAAUAAAGAGGGUAAAUAAAUAAAUAAAUAAAUAAAUAAAUAUAGGAAUAGGGGCAGGUACCUUCAGGGGGGGGGUUGAUGGCAGAAGGGGGGGUACCUAUAGCAUACUAGAGAGAGGGGGGGGGUGAGGAAGCUGUAAUAAUAAAAAAAAUAAAUAAUAAAAAAAUUUGAGGGUAAAUAAAUAAAUAAAAAUAGGAAUAUUUAUCAGGUGCCGGUAGCAGAAGGGGGGGUACCUAUAGCAUACUAGAGAGAGGGGGGGGUGGGUGAGGAAGCUGUAUGAAUGAUGAGUAGACUAGGGGGGGGUCAGGGUGGGUAAUAUAUAAUAAUUUGUGUAAUAUUUCAACAUUUGUUAUAUCGACAUGCAUACUGACACUUUUCUCCCAGACAGAUAAGCCUGGCUGGUGAGACAGAGGGGGAGUGGCUUUCUAUUUCAUUAUGUAAGUGAUAUGAGGUGACAUGAGGUCGUCUGGCCAGCUGUGACCCUGUACAUGUGAUAGGCUUGGAAUUUAUUGUAAUUGUCAUUGUGUGUGUGUGUGUGUGUGUUUGUUUGUUUGUUAGUAUACUGUGAAUUAUAGAUGUUUGCUUAAUAUUUCCCAUGAAUUAACAAAAAAAGCACAAUUCUAUUAAUAUUUCUGUUUAUUUAUUGUAAACAAGACUUUUGUAUACCAGUUAUUUGUUGAAUAAAUCUAUAGUUAUUAA